rnacentral:lncRNA from 1 species
AUGGGAAAGAAGUUUGUGUUUGAAAAUGGGAUUUUCAGAGAGUGAACUGAAAGGUCCCUCAAGAGGUCAAACUGAUUUGCUUAGAGUCAGAAUAUGUAUCAGCUGCAGAAUUUGGGCCCAAAUAAUUCUGCCUUCUGAAAGUAACCUUUUUCUCCUCGAGAUCCCACUGUUCCUGGUUAUGACAACAGCAACAAUUAUAUGAAUAACUUGUACAUCAUGGUUGAAUGCCAAGUAAGUUCCUUUUACAGAAGAAGAACUGAGGCAAACAGGGUUAUGUGCCUUAUUUAGGGUCACACAUCUGAGGCCAGAUUUGAACUUGAAAAGAUGUGUCUUCCUGACUUCGUGGCUGGCAUGCUAUUGUGGCGGAGAGAAAAAGAAGUCUGCAGAAAAGGCUGGAAAAGCAAAGACUCCAGAGGUGUCACUCAAGGAGAACAUUCUAAUUAGAAUGGUGACCAGAAAAGACUGUUGAGAAGGAUCAGAACAAAUUGAAAUCUGGCUCUCUUUGCUUUGAGGCAGAAAGGAAGAAGGGGGUCUCUUGGUUUGGGGAUGGAAAGAAAGAAGGACAAAGUCCAGCUUUCUCU